GGGCUACUGGGCUGCGGAGACCAGAGCCCGGCUCCACUGAAGAAACCCGCCGGCUGCUGGGGCAGGGCGGCGAAAGGUCAGUCGGCCGAGAGGAGUCCGUGGAGCCACCGUUUCAUAGCCUCAGGGAAAGGAUCGGGCGUGCUCACGAGCCCUCUAACCCAUGGCUUAAACACCCGCUUCCUAAGCCUGGGUAAGUGCAGUAGCUCUUCGCUCGAGAGGAGCCACGUGGAAGAGAGUCGGGAGGGGCCCUGCGCCCUACUCCUCCUCUCCAGAAACAGGGAGGGCUGGGAAGGAUUUUCCUGAUUUGUCCCCGGAUUUGGCCGAGUGCACAGAUUUUAAUUCCAGUCUUCUCAUCCUCCUGUAGUUCAACUAGGUGUCUUCCUGGUGAAGCGUGAGAUUGGCAAACCCAGCAGUGAGUGUGCUUCUGAUUUCCCAACAAGGCAAUGACUCCUUGGGUUUGUCCCCAAGACCUUAUGCCUGGAGUGCCCCAAGGAUGUUUCAGUCACCCUCAGUGUCAGGAAUCCCAGACCUUCCUGUACCUAAAGAAGUGACCUUUAAUAGUGCUCAGGGAUUUCAGACCUCUCAAGUGUUUCUGCCGGGGGAAUUCUUAUAAAGCUGUUGGUUACAUGUAAUUAGAAAUAGGGAAGAUUUGUUUUGACUGAAAAUGCUCUUCCCAAGGUGACCUCAUCCAAGUUAAAAAAGACAGCUGUCAUUGCUUUUCUUAGCAGGCAGUGUUGGUUACUCAGAAUUUUCCUGUUGCCUCCCCGACAAUGCCCAACUCCGCUUCCUUGAACCUUGGCUUUUUUUCAUUCCCAGGUUCCAUCCACCUUUUUGCACUUCCUAUCUAUAAACUCUUCGUGGCUGUGUUUUAUCCCCUCUCAUUACGUUGAUCUAUU
rnacentral:lncRNA from 1 species